rnacentral:rRNA from 1 species
UACGUAGGGGGCAAGCGUUGUCCGGAAUCAUUGGGCGUAAAGCGCGUGUAGGCGGCUGACUAAGUCCGCUCUGAAAGCCCGGGGCUCAACCCCGGGAGGCGGGUGGAUACUGGUCAGCUCGAGUCCGGAAGAGGAGUGUGGAAGUUCCUGGUGUAGCGGUGAAAUGCGCAGAUAUCAGGAGGAACACCAAUGGCGAAGGCAGCACUCUGGGACGGUACUGACGCUGAGACGCGAAAGCGUGGGGAGCAAACAGG